CUACGGGGGGCUGCAGUGGGGAAUAUUGCACAAUGGGGGAAACCCUGAUGCAGCAACGCCGCGUGAAGGAAGAAGGUUUUCGGAUCGUAAACUUCUAUCAGCAAGGAAGAUAAUGACGGUACUUGACUAAGAAGCCCCGGCUAACUACGUGCCAGCAGCCGCGGUAAUACGUAGGGGGCAAGCGUUAUCCGGAAUUACUGGGUGUAAAGGGAGCGUAGACGGUAAUAUAAGUCAGAUGUGAAAGCCCAAGGCUCAACCUUGGGACUGCAUUUGAAACUGUAUAACUAGAGUACAGGAGAGGAAAGUGGAAUUCCUAGUGUAGCGGUGAAAUGCGUAGAUAUUAGGAGGAACACCAGUGGCGAAGGCGACUUUCUGGACUGUAACUGACGUUGAGGCUCGAAAGCGUGGGGAGCGAACAGGAUUAGAUACCCGGGUAGUC
rnacentral:rRNA from 1 species